rnacentral:lncRNA from 1 species
GCCUCCCUCCCCUCCCCGAGCAGCUUCUGCAGAGAAACGAAACCGAAGCGGGGGCGGGGCGGACCCGAAACCGACCAGCUGGGAUUUCCCGGGCCUGGCGCGUCCCGUCGGGCCGAGCGUGUGGCACCCGCUAGGACCUCUGACCCCGAUGGGUGACGCUGGGGGUCUCGCCUGGAGCAGCAGGAAGGUCUGGCUCCCCGUGGCCAUCGCGGAACUCGCCAUCAUCCUCAUCCUGGUGGCCGGGCUGGGCCACUUUGUGGCCAAGGAGCAGUGGCUGCACAGCGGCAUGCCGGGGCUGCAGGAGGAGAUGGCCAGGGCCAACUGGACACUGCAGAAGAAGCAGGAGGGCUUGGACUUUUGCAGGAACCACACGCACGUACUGCAGAAGAAUGUCAUUAACCUGACCCAGGAGGUCACCCGGUUAAAUAGCGACAUUGCCCAGCAAGAGGUGGAAAAAGGCAGGUUACGAGAUGAAAUUAGCGCCUGGAAAAACACAGCCCAGCAUCUCCAGGAGCAAAAGGAUCAGUACCACAGGGAGGUCAGCUGGCUGCAGCAGCAGCUCGAAAGACACCAGGAACUUCGCUCCAGUGUGGGCAGCGCCAGGCUGCCCAGCCUCCUGCCUCUGCUGGCAGCCCCCUUCGCUGCGCUGCUUGUCUGAACGGCGCCAGGCAGGGAGCAGAGUCAGCACCCAGGACUGAGUCCCCCAGCUGGGAGAGCUGGAAUCUCCCAGGGAAUAAGCAGCACUGGAUCCUGUGGCUGGCACACACGCCUUCUCCAUGUGAUCUGUUCUGAGUGAUCAGUGAGACUCCGAGCUGGCUCUUCCCUGGGCGUGCAUGUGGAGGACUGCCAGAGGACUGUUUACUGAGGGAGGGGGGCUGUGACGGACGAGGGGGACGCAGUGAUGGGUCCAUGGAUGGAGACGAUCCUGUGCUACAGUUUAGACAUGUCACCCAAAGCUCCAGAUGACUGUUGCAGCAAGUUGGGCCUGUGACAUCCUGCUUGGGUAGGAAACACCAGUGGACUGCUAACAUUUUUUCAGAGGUGGCCACUGAUUUGGAGUGACCAGUUUUGGGGUGCCCCUGGCCUCCAUGUGAGUCACACCCAGUCUAGGACCCAGCGACAGCAUCAUCUGCCGAGCGGCUGCAAUUCAUCUCCCCAGCCACACUCAAACUCUUCCCCUGCCACAUAACAAAAGAUCCCCCAUGCAGAGCGCUCUGCAUCUGAGGCCAGCAGAAAAGAGACAAAGAAAGUAGCCCGAAGUUGGAGGAGGCAGUCUUACCCGCUCGCUGGUUCCAGUGGGUCUGGCUGUUGGGUGGCUGCAUGACCCAGGAAUUUGGGGAGUGCCGGCUGGAGGCACCAGAGCUGAGUCUCCCCUGCAAAUCCUGCAACAUCCAGCAGGGAGGAAACCUUAAUGGAGAGGAAGGAUCGCCCAGUGCUUAGCGUACGGGCUUGGGAAGCCGCACUCGGGGUUUCUAUUCUUGGCUGUAGGAGGGAGCUGUUAGAGCAAGGGAAUGGAGAAACAGGACUCCUGGGUUCUAUUCCCACCUCUGCCAUUGUGUGACCUUGGGUGAAUCAGUUCCCUGCUCUGUACCUCAGUUUCCCUCUCUAUCAACACAGUGAUGCGUGCCUGCCAGGAGAGCUGGUGCCUCCACUGGUUGCUGCUCUCCACCCCAGAGGUGGCUGAAUUUUGGU